rnacentral:misc_RNA from 1 species
AAGUCGUAACAAGGUUGUGAACCUGCGGAAAGAUUAUUAAUGCUCUUGUAACCCGCGUAGUUCGCAAUCUCUGAUAAAUCACAGCCCCGAAAGUUGUAGUGAUUCAGAGACCUCUAGCUACGUGCGAACAUUGGAACAGUUAUAAUCGAGUGGUAGUUCUAUCGGCAAUGUUUCCCCAAGCAGUCCGUGUCGGAAAGUGUCAUUGAUUGUAUUCCUGUAGACCGUACACCCGGGCAGGAGCUUUGCCAAAGGGUCCCCAUGCCCCCUGAUAACCCCUCAAUGUAAUACAUUGGGUAAAAAACCGAACAACUGUUAACAAUGGAUAUCUUGGUUCUC